GUGUGUGUGUGUGUGUCAGGUACGCGUUCAGUCCUCUGCUGGAUGAAGAAAGCGAGGAAGAAGAGAAGGAGCCGAUGAUGAACGAGGCUUUCGAGGGGAUGAAGAUGAGGGGAACGAAGAACGAGACCAACGGUUCGGCCAAAGCCAACAAAGUGGAUGAAGAUCUGAAAUGGGUAGAAGAGAACAUCCCUUCAUCGAUGGCAGACGUCGCCCUGCCGCCCCUGCUGGACUCUGAUGAGGAAACCUUGACGACCAAGUUCGAGAUGUCCAAGAUGGAGUGAAGCAGAAGGAAGAACGUGGAGCCGGAGGAGCGUGAUUGAUAAAUAAUACAGAUUUAAUAAUGGCGUGAAAGGUGGCUGUGAGAGAGAAAGGAUGGCUGAUGAGAGGAAGGGGGGGAGACGAACUGAUGGAUGGAUGAAGGGAAGAGGGGAACGAGUGUCGGUAUGUGAUUCAAUCCCUGAAUUUAUGAGCUUUGUAAGCCUUUGAUUGUACAUACACUGGGAGUAAUAUCGAUCACAGCGGCACACAGAUCCUUUUUAUUUUUUAUUUUUUAUUUUUAUUGCCUGUUUGUAUUUAUAUUUCUAUAUAUAUACAGUAUAUUUUGACAGAUUUGAUGUUAACGAAGCGGCUUGUUUUUUUGUCUUUUCACCGUUUACAUGCGGAAAUGUGAUUUUCGGGUUUUUGUCUGUUUUUCGGGUUUUUUCACUGUUGCCUCGAUAAGAGCCCCCCCGCCGUCACCGUUGUUCUGUUGGGGUUUUGUGUCUUUACGUUGGUGGAUUAACGCUACCUGUAGGUCUCAUCCGGAUCCUUUCAACCUGUAAGAAACCAAAGUUGUGACAUGGAUGUGAAUGAAUUUCUGGAUUAUUUUCUUACAAUCUGAACCAUUAAAAGUGUUCACGUUGGGAUUUGGAUGUUUUGAUUGAUGGAAAAUGACUUUAUUUUGUUGUUUUACUUCUUAUUUACGACAUAAAGGGCCGUUGCUGCAUCUGGCUAAUUAAAAUCUGUUAAAAUUUAGAUCAUUUUUUAGACAUUCCCAAUCACCACUGAAGAAUAAAACAUCACUCUCCACCAGACUCCAUAGAAAAAAUUGGCAAUUUUGACUCUCAGAUCAUCGUAACUUCAUUCAAAGUGGACAGAAA